AACUUAGUGGCGCACGGGUGCGUAACGCGUAUGCAACCUACCUUCAACUGGAGAAUAGCCCCUCGAAAGAGGGAUUAAUACUCCAUAGUAAUUAGAUAAGGCAUCUUAUUUAGUUUAAAGUUCCGGCGGUUGAAGAUGGGCAUGCGUGACAUUAGCUAGUUGGUGAGGUAACGGCUCACCAAGGCUACGAUGUCUAGGGGUUCUGAGAGGAUGAUCCCCCACACUGGUACUGAGACACGGACCAGACUCCUACGGGAGGCAGCAGUAAGGAAUAUUGGUCAAUGGACGCAAGUCUGAACCAGCCAUGCCGCGUGAAGGAUGACGGCCCUAUGGGUUGUAAACUUCUUUUGUACGGGAAUAAACCCUUCUACGUGUAGAAGGCUGAAUGUACCGUAAGAAUAAGGAUCGGCUAACUCCGUGCCAGCAGCCGCGGUAAUACGGAGGAUCCAAGCGUUAUCCGGAUUCAUUGGGUUUAAAGGGUGCGUAGGCGGAUUUGUAAGUCAGUGGUGAAAGCCUGCAGCUCAACUGCAGAACUGCCAUUGAUACUGCAAGUCUUGAGUACACUUGACGUGGGCGGAAUGUGUCAUGUAGCGGUGAAAUGCUUAGAUAUGACACAGAACACCGAUUGCGAAGGCAGCUCACGAAAUUGUAACUGACGCUGAGGCACGACAGCGUGGGGAUCAAACAGGAUUAGAUACCCUGGUAGUCCACGCCGUAAACUAUGAAUACUCGAUGUUGGCGAUAUACUGUCAGCGUCUAAGCUAAAGCAUUAAGUAUUCCACCUGGGGAGUACG
rnacentral:rRNA from 1 species